rnacentral:lncRNA from 1 species
AGCCCAACAUCAGAUAAUAACCUGCAAAUUCUAUAGUCUAAGUGAACUUCUAAUUGGGGAAGUUGAAAUAGUUUGGGGAGUCAGGGAAGGCUUCCUGGAGGAGGUGUUGUUUGAGCUGCAAUUCAAAGGAUAACAGUAACUAGAAGAAGAGUGUAGGGGUAGAGGUGGGAAGAUCAUUCUAGUUGGGGGGAAAGUGUGUGCAAAGGCCCUGUGGCUGGAGAGAACUAGGCACUUUUAAGAAGCUAAGAGAAGGCUCAUGUAGCUGCAGAAAAGAGCAGGCAGGCUUGUGUCCUCUUACCUCAUUGUACCAGCUUCCAUGACUAGGAAGAGCAGGGGCCACAGCUGUUCUCCCCCUCCUAGGGAGCUCUGGAUGGUGAUGGAAGCCCAGGCUGAGGGCAGGUCAUUAGGGAGCAUGGGAACAGGGUACAUUGCUUCCCCAAACUCGUUUCUGCCUCAUUCCAGUUCGUGAGGUUAGAAAGCUGAACACUACAUUCUCCAGACUCCCUGACAGCCAGCAUUCUGAAUGUAAAUCUAGUCCCAUCAGUUAGAUGCAGGUGUACAAGAUUUGGGCAGCAGAACUGUGGUAGAAGCCUUCUGCCUGUCCCCUUAGGCUUUUUCUGAUGAUAAACGAGCAAGUGUGAGGAUUUCUGCAGCCAUGUUGCAAAGCUCAUUCUGUAGCCUCCCUGCUAUAGAGAGAGUCGUGGUGGCAACAGCUGUAGCAGUGGUGGCUUCAGAGUGCGAAGGUGUCCCAGUGGGUCAGUUCUAUUUGUCCAGGAGUCAUUCCCAGAGGCCAGCCUAGAAGGGCUCCUCCAGCCCUCCCAGUAAAUGCUGCAUCUCAUUCCUGGUAUUGAAUCCCUUCCCCGUGUUAUAGGGGGCGCUACUGAUGCUCCACCUCCACUCCUCCCAACCUCCUGGGUUUACCUGCAGCUGUGACAGUCCCCAGCUUCCCUCCUGAAAAGCCUGUGUCAAACUUGAUCUCUGAUUGAGGGCUUUUUCAGCACCUGGAAUUUACUCUGCUAAAUGCAGGGCAAUCCAGGGGGUGAAGGUAUCAAUGUCCUGGGGCUGCUUCCAGCCACCGGGGAACGGGAGGGGGUAUGUGUCCCACUUUCUGUCCUUGUGAGAAAAUUCCAGGUCUCAGUCCACAUGAUUUCCUAGAGAGUCUCUGAUGAGACUGAGCCCCAAUUGCCCGCAGCAGUAACCCACUCAGGAUUGAUUUUUUCCCCUAUCUUGUCACACCUUCCCCACUUCUGUACUUGUACUUCCUAAGAUCACCUCCUGAAUACACCACCUGCACCUCUACCCUUGCCCCGGGAUCCGCUUUGGGGGGAGUCCAAGGAAAGACAAUGAAAUAAGUUUCUAUUUUGCUAUGCAAAAGCUUUUAAGUUUAAUUAGGUCCCAUUUAUUUAUUUUUGUUUUUAUUUUCAUUAUUCUAGGAGGUGAAUAUUGCUGAUUUAUGUUUCUCCUAAGAGUUUUAUAGUGUCUGGUCUUACGUUUUUUUCAUGUGUUCCAAAUCUGACUUGAUAGAGAGGCAUUAAAGACUGUUUUACAAACACAGAUAUGGAUUCUUUUUAACCAAGUCAAACAUAUUCCAGGCAAUCACAUCACUGGGCUCUGAAUUUAUAUUUCACAGGCCUUCAGCCUUCUAUCCGUCCGUCCAUCCACCCAUCCAUCCACUCAUCCAUCUAUCCAUCCACUCAUCUAUCCAUCCAUCCAUCCACUCAUCCAUCCAUCCAUUCAUCCAUCCAUCCAUCCAUCCAUCCAUCCAUCCAUCCAACCAUCCAUCCAUCCAUCCAUCCAUCCAUCCAUCCAUCCAUCUAUCCAUCCACUCAUCCAUCCAUCCAUCCAUCCAUCCAUCCAUCCAUCCUUCCAACCAUCACUCCAUUCAUCCAUCUACCCACUCAUCUAUCCAGCCAGCAAUCAUUUAUUAGCCCUCUGCUUGUGCCCAGUGUUGUGCUAGAGGCUGAGGAUAGGGAAACUAAUUAAGCUUCCUGCCUCCAAGUCACUCACUGUGAUGAGAUCCUACAGCAAAUGUGGUUCUGCCAUUUUGACUUCUGCACAUAAUGCAUUUAGCACAGCCAUGUAAACUCAACACUAAUGCCAGUGAGUGGUCUUAUUAUAUAAAUAUACUAAUCAUAACAUUUCCAUCUGUCCUGAAAAUUGUCUCCAACAUUCAAACUGUGUGUCUCUUUUAUUAAAAUGCCCUGUAUUAAGACAGUGCUUCUAAGGAACUAAAUUUAGUUUGAGAAACUGCUCUGAAUUUUGGAGUCAUUAAAUGUAGCUUUUGUGUGUGUGUGUGCACACAUGACAGAGAAAAAUUACAGCCAGCAGUGUCUAUAUUGAAAAUCCUGCAUUAGAUUGCCAUCAGUUGCUAAUAAUACAUCAUAAUUAUUCUUAUAGGGUUAAGCUUUUCUCUUUCCUUUUCCACCUGCCUUGCUGAGAUAACCGCUAAGGAUGUUCUGGAAGACGAUGGGGUUGAAAUUCAAAAGCUUUCAUGACAGCUGAGCUCUCCACGAAAUUCAUUAUGUUGAAAAGAUGGGGAGGAGAGCAUUGUCUGCAAAGAUAAUGACUGUGCAAUUUCCAGUCCAUUCUCUUGAUGGCCAGAUCUUGGAGGCAACCCAUGGACCAGUUUCACCAAGCAGACCCUGCUAUCUCUCAUCCCUCUGUACUAGGAAAGGGUUGGGUCUGGCUCAAGCAGGAGCAGCCUGAAGCCCUGGUAGGAUGGGCCAGUUUGCAGGGGUGAGGGUGGAGGAAAUGGGAUAGGGAGGGAAUUGGGAAAAUAGAGCAGGGCUCGACCCCACCACAGUGCUUGGUUCUAGAGAUGUUAGGUGUGGAUCUGGCUGACAUCAGUGUCAAAGGGGCUCACAGCAGAUAGUGCUUCCCAGCCCAGGUGACAGUUCUGUGCUUUCUCUGUAUCCCCAGCUUUGAGCCCAGACCCAGGCAAAGCAGGAGCUCAAUAAACAUGUGUUGUCUGAGAAAGCACUGUAUAGGAUUAUGCACCGCAAAGAAAUCAGCCAAGCAUGGUUCCCAUGGGAAAUAAAAUCACGUUCUUCUCCAGUUCCUGCCUAUGGAAUAAGAUUCACGGGAGGAAAUCAUAGCCCGUCAGCAGUGUCAGUGUUGGACUCUCCAUGGAGAGGAAGGUCUCCUGUGUUUGGGGCAGACAUCCCAGCACUGCCCAGGAGGGACCUGCGUCUCUCAUCAUGGGCUAAACCAGCGAAAUCCAGUGUGGCUCCCACAGGAAGACAGGCCACCCUCUAAACAUAAAGGAGGUGAUUUCCUCUAACUGGAAAGUAGCAGAUGUCACACAUGCCGUGUCUGCUGGGCAGGUUCUCAUUCACACUUUCAAGGCUGUUUCAUUUUCCUUCCCAGCAUUGCUACCCUCCUUUCUCUGUCCCCCUUUCAUUUGUUACCAGUGUGCCCUUGGCAGAUUCCCAAGGUUAUAGUCACUGCAAAACGAGUGGUCUUGCCUGGUCCCAGUAAGGAAAGGGAAACACUGAAAAAUUGCAGAAAGUAGGAUGACAGCAAAAAUUAGAAUUAUUAAAUUAUUAUAAGGAUAUGAAAUCUUCCUUGAGCCCCCCCCCAAAGAAAAGAAUCAUUUAUUUUAUUGGCCAAUGGCAGAGACCAAUAGUUGUCCCUCCAAAUCAAGUCUCUGCUUUCUUCUACAGUGAAACGAACCCAACUAGUAACCAUGAGGUCUCGGGUUUGAUCCCUGGCCUCGCUCAGGCGGUUAAGGAUCCAGCAUUGCUGUGGCUGUGGCUGUGGCUGGCAGCUACAGCUCUGAUUCAGCCCCUAGCCUGGGAGCUUCCAUAUG